rnacentral:lncRNA from 1 species
CAGUUACUAACCAAACCCGAUUUCAUCGGUUUUAGCUUCAUUCUCAAGUAGACUCAUCCAUUUGGAUUUUCAAAAAUCAUCCUCCACCCUCUCUUCGUCGCCUACAAUACUUGUCCCAUUUCAUGAAUGCAUUUUUUUUAAUUCCAUUUUGAUCAAUAAAGCUUAUUAAGCAACUAAAAGAGAAAUUAAAAAAGCAAUUAAAAGAGAAGGCAUCACAACUUACACCACCCCUGCCCCACUCCCCCAAUUGCAUCCAAAAGAAAACAGUGUUUUUCCUUCAUUUCUAUUAUCGGAGUGGGGGCGGGGAGAGGAAUCCAAGGAACAGACAAAAAGGAAGAGAGAAUUCUGUGGAGGGGGCAAUAAAUUUUUGAAGUGGGAGAAAAGAAGCAAAAGGACUCGGAGAGAACAGCGGCAAACUUAAGAAAGGAGAAAAUGAAAAUAAAAGAAAAAAAGAGAGGGACCAAUAAUAUCAUAUCAAAUCCAAAAUCACAACCCCAGGAAAGAGGUGUUGCGUUCCCAAUGAUCUGGGAAUUCAAAAUCUAACCAAAACAGAACAAAACAAAACAAAACAAAAUAAGACAUAAUAAACCAAAAAAAACUCAGAUUGCACAGUCCACAAAAAAAAAAGGAGGGUCCGAAAAUUGAUGCUCCAACAUUCGAGCAUCAGUUACUAAUGCAACUUCCAUUCUCAGAUCACACAAAAAUAUCUUCUCAGUUAAUAAUUCUAAAAGUAUUUCGUGACCCAAAACAACGCAUAAAAGCGAAUUUCAGAAAUAACAACAAAAAAAGUAAAAUUACCUAGCUUUAUCGAGUGAAUUGACCCAAAUCCACUGCCUUAAGAUCAACAGAUCCAAUCCAACAGCACAAUUAAGCAGAAAUGCAAAAUCUGACAGGAACAAGGGAAAGUGUUUUUGUUUUUCUUUGGAGAGAGAAAGGGAAAGGGGAGGAGAGAGAAAGAGUAUUGUUAUCACUAGGGGGGUAAUAUAUGUUGGAGUGGGAGAGAGAGAAAGUCGGGGGGUUGGAGGGAAUGAUUUGUUGCCAGGCGUGCUUGUCACUAACGGCAGAGAAGAAAAGGGAGGUGAAAGGAAA